GAUCAUGGCUCAGAUUGAACGCUGGCGGAAUGCUUUACACAUGCAAGUCGAGCGGCAGCGCGGGGCAACCUGGCGGCGAGCGGCGAACGGGUGAGUAAUACAUCGGAACGUGCCCAGACGUGGGGGAUAACUACUCGAAAGAGUGGCUAAUACCGCAUACGAUCUAAGGAUGAAAGCGGGGGAUCGCAAGACCUCGCGCGUUUGGAGCGGCCGAUGGCAGAUUAGGUAGUUGGUGGGUAAAGGCUUACCAAGCCCGCGAUCUGUAGCUGGUCUGAGAGGAUGAUCAGCCACACUGGGACUGAGACACGGCCCAGACUCCUACGGGAGGCAGCAGUGGGGAAUUUUGGACAAUGGGCGAAAGCCUGAUCCAGCCAUUCCGCGUGCAGGAUGAAGGCCCUCGGGUUGUAAACUGCUUUUGUACAGAACGAAAAAGCUCUUUCUAAUACAGAGAGUCCAUGACGGUACUGUAAGAAUAAGCACCGGCUAACUACGUG
rnacentral:rRNA from 1 species